AUUGAACGCUGGCGGCGUGCCUAAUACAUGCAAGUCGAACAGGGAAAGCUUUCGGGUGAGUACUAGUGGCGCACGGGUGAGUAACGCGUGGAUAAUCUGCCUUAGAGUGGGGGAUAACUAGUCGAAAGAUUAGCUAAUACCGCAUAAGACCACAAGAACUGCGGUUCAAGGGGUCAAAGGUUUUUCGCUCUAAGAUGAGUCCGCGUAAGAUUAGCUAGUUGGUGAGGUAAUGGCUCACCAAGGCGACGAUCUUUAACUGGUCUGAGAGGAUGAUCAGUGACACUGGAACCGACACAGGGUCCAGAGUCCUACGGGAGGCAGCAGUAGGGAAUAUUGCACAAUGGAGGAAACUCUGAUGCAGCAACGCCGCGUGAGUGAUGAAGGCCUUCGGGUCGUAAAGCUCUGUCGCAAGGGAAUAACACAAUGGAUGUACCUUGCAAGAAAGGAUCGGCUAACUUCGUGCCAGCCGCCGCCGUAACAC
rnacentral:rRNA from 1 species